ACUGAGAGAGCUCUGGGCUGUAGGAUGCGGUCUUGUCUCUAUACCAUCAUCUAUUGGUAAACUUAGGAGGUUAGAGAAACUUGGGCUUCAUAAUAACAAAAUUACACACCUGCCAUCACAAUUUGGGGGUCUCAGCAGUCACUGGUCUUCAUGAACCUGGACAAGAUCUGUUUUACACACAUCCCUACAGCACUGACAGACAUGGCAAAUCUGCAGACCCUGUCUGUUAAAUUUAACAGCAUCAGAUCACUGGAAGAUUACUUAAUCCCUGGUUUCAGCAGAUUUAUAAAACUUGACCUCAGAGAAAAUCUUUUAAUGGACAGACCACCACACUGGAAGGGAUUGGAUUUUAUAUUGCUGGGAAAUGUCUGAUACGCUGAGGAAGAUUCAUAUGAGAUGAGUAGGAACUGAAAAUAAG